rnacentral:lncRNA from 1 species
UCCUUGGUUGAUGCACAUUUUAAAUUGUUUGGAGUAGAAACUUACCUCACCCUGUCUGAGGUGAUUUGGAGUUUCUUUUCGCUGUUGGGUGCUUGUGCUCCAUUUUUUUUAUGUUUUUGAUUCGCAAUUUGGCUAGAUCGAUGAUCUGAGUGUCGCUGACAUCCCUGGAGGGUGCGGCUCAUUCUUUCACUACCCAACUUUGAACUUUGGUGUAGAGGCCUCAACUUGUGAUGACUUGACGCAGGUUAACAUGUUUGAUGGUGUAGAUUUUAUUCGCUAAACCUUUCGUCAUUGGCCUUCUGCUCUUGAGUUAAGGACUUAUUGAAAAAAAUUCCCCUUCUUCUGUAGGGGUAAUCUUAUAUAGCCAUGAUUUUUUUCAGGAGUUCUCCCCUUUCUUUUGAUGAGAGGCUUGAUCCUACCUUAAACUCCUUCCAUUUCUUGGAAUUAGAAAAUGCCACAGUCCUUUCGUAUGUUGUUGUCGGGGAUUUAUAUGAGAAACUCUCUUUGCUGGCCAAGUCAUGAGUGAGCAAUAUCCUGCACAUCAAAAGAACAAAAUGCACCAAAAGCUUGACG